rnacentral:tRNA from 1 species
GGUUGUGUAGUGUAGUGGUUAUCACUCCGGAUUUUGAUGCACUGCAUUGAGACCUUCCGGCGACCUGGGUUCGAGCCCCAGCACGACCU